UUAAGUUAUUAAGGGCGCACGGUGGAUGCCUUGGCACUAGAAGCCGAUGAAGGACGUUACUAACGACGAUAUGCUUUGGGGAGCUGUAAGUAAGCUUUGAUCCAGAGAUUUCCGAAUGGGGAAACCCAGCAUGAGUUAUGUCAUGUUAUCGAUAUGUGAAUACAUAGCAUAUCAGAAGGCACACCCGGAGAACUGAAACAUCUUAGUACCCGGAGGAAGAGAAAGAAAAUUCGAUUCCCUUAGUAGCGGCGAGCGAAACGGGAAGAGCCCAAACCAACAAGCUUGCUUGUUGGGGUUGUAGGACACUCUAUACGGAGUUACAAAGGACGACAUUAGACGAAUCAUCUGGAAAGAUGAAUCAAAGAAGGUAAUAAUCCUGUAGUCGAAAAUGUUGUCUCUCUUGAGUGGAUCCUGAGUACGACGGAGCACGUGAAAUUCCGUCGGAAUCUGGGAGGACCAUCUCCUAAGGCUAAAUACUCUCUAGUGACCGAUAGUGAACCAGUACCGUGAGGGAAAGGUGAAAAGCACCCCGGAAGGGGAGUGAAAUAGAACCUGAAACCGUGUGCUUACAAGUAGUCAGAGCCCGUUAAUGGGUGAUGGCGUGCCUUUUGUAGAAUGAACCGGCGAGUUACGAUUUGAUGCAAGGUUAAGCAGUAAAUGUGGAGCCGUAGCGAAAGCGAGUCUGAAUAGGGCGUUUAGUAUUUGGUCGUAGACCCGAAACCAGGUGAUCUACCCUUGGUCAGGUUGAAGUUCAGGUAACACUGAAUGGAGGACCGAACCGACUUACGUUGAAAAGUGAGCGGAUGAACUGAGGGUAGCGGAGAAAUUCCAAUCGAACCUGGAGAUAGCUGGUUCUCUCCGAAAUAGCUUUAGGGCUAGCCUCAAGUGAUGAUUAUUGGAGGUAGAGCACUGUUUGGACGAGGGGCCCCUCUCGGGUUACCGAAUUCAGACAAACUCCGAAUGCCAAUUAAUUUAACUUGGGAGUCAGAACAUGGGUGAUAAGGUCCGUGUUCGAAAGGGAAACAGCCCAGACCACCAGCUAAGGUCCCAAAAUAUAUGUUAAGUGGAAAAGGAUGUGGCGUUGCCCAGACAACUAGGAUGUUGGCUUAGAAGCAGCCAUCAUUUAAAGAGUGCGUAAUAGCUCACUAGUCGAGUGACACUGCGCCGAAAAUGUACCGGGGCUAAACAUAUUACCGAAGCUGUGGAUUGUCCUUUGGACAAUGGUAGGAGAGCGUUCUAAGGGCGUUGAAGCAUGAUCGUAAGGACAUGUGGAGCGCUUAGAAGUGAGAAUGCCGGUGUGAGUAGCGAAAGACGGGUGAGAAUCCCGUCCACCGAUUGACUAAGGUUUCCAGAGGAAGGCUCGUCCGCUCUGGGUUAGUCGGGUCCUAAGCUGAGGCCGACAGGCGUAGGCGAUGGAUAACAGGUUGAUAUUCCUGUACCACCUAUAAUCGUUUUAAUCGAUGGGGGGACGCAGUAGGAUAGGCGAAGCGUGCGAUUGGAUUGCACGUCUAAGCAGUAAGGCUGAGUAUUAGGCAAAUCCGGUACUCGUUAAGGCUGAGCUGUGAUGGGGAGAAGACAUUGUGUCUUCGAGUCGUUGAUUUCACACUGCCGAGAAAAGCCUCUAGAUAGAAAAUAGGUGCCCGUACCGCAAACCGACACAGGUAGUCAAGAUGAGAAUUCUAAGGUGAGCGAGCGAACUCUCGUUAAGGAACUCGGCAAAAUGACCCCGUAACUUCGGGAGAAGGGGUGCUCUUUAGGGUUAACGCCCAGAAGAGCCGCAGUGAAUAGGCCCAAGCGACUGUUUAUCAAAAACACAGGUCUCUGCUAAACCGUAAGGUGAUGUAUAGGGGCUGACGCCUGCCCGGUGCUGGAAGGUUAAGAGGAGUGGUUAGCUUCUGCGAAGCUACGAAUCGAAGCCCCAGUAAACGGCGGCCGUAACUAUAACGGUCCUAAGGUAGCGAAAUUCCUUGUCGGGUAAGUUCCGACCCGCACGAAAGGCGUAACGAUUUGGGCACUGUCUCAACGAGAGACUCGGUGAAAUCAUAGUACCUGUGAAGAUGCAGGUUACCCGCGACAGGACGGAAAGACCCCGUGGAGCUUUACUGUAGCCUGAUAUUGAAAUUCGGCACAGCUUGUACAGGAUAGGUAGGAGCCUUUGAAACGUGAGCGCUAGCUUACGUGGAGGCGCUGGUGGGAUACUACCCUAGCUGUGUUGGCUUUCUAACCCGCACCACUUAUCGUGGUGGGAGACAGUGUCAGGCGGGCAGUUUGACUGGGGCGGUCGCCUCCUAAAAGGUAACGGAGGCGCUCAAAGGUUCCCUCAGAAUGGUUGGAAAUCAUUCAUAGAGUGUAAAGGCAUAAGGGAGCUUGACUGCGAGACCUACAAGUCGAGCAGGGUCGAAAGACGGACUUAGUGAUCCGGUGGUUCCGCAUGGAAGGGCCAUCGCUCAACGGAUAAAAGCUACCCCGGGGAUAACAGGCUUAUCUCCCCCAAGAGUUCACAUCGACGGGGAGGUUUGGCACCUCGAUGUCGGCUCAUCGCAUCCUGGGGCUGUAGUCGGUCCCAAGGGUUGGGCUGUUCGCCCAUUAAAGCGGUACGCGAGCUGGGUUCAGAACGUCGUGAGACAGUUCGGUCCCUAUCCGUCGUGGGCGUAGGAAAUUUGAGAGGAGCUGUCCUUAGCACGAGAGGACCGGGAUGGACAUACCUCUGGUGUACCAGUUGUCGUGCCAACGGCAUAGCUGGGUAGCUAUGUGUGGACGGGAUAAGUGCUGAAAG
rnacentral:rRNA from 1 species